ACGCUCGACACCUACGGGAGACAGCAGUGAGGAAUAUUGGUCAAUGGGCGCUAGCCUGAACCAGCCAAGUAGCGUGAAGGAUGAAGGCUCUAUGGGUCGUAAACUUCUUUUAUAUAAGAAUAAAGUGCAGUAUGUAUACUGUUUUGUAUGUAUUAUAUGAAUAAGGAUCGGCUAACUCCGUGCCAGCAGCCGACGGUAAUCUGAGCGGGCUGGCAAGGC
rnacentral:rRNA from 1 species